rnacentral:lncRNA from 1 species
UUUUUCUUUUGUAAAGGUUUUCUCGAACGGAGAUGAAGUUCAUGUGACCAAGGCGCUAAAGAGGCUCGUGAUCGAAGAUUGUUUUGAGAGAAUCAUAAGUUUCGAGACCUUAAACCCUAAGAUCAACGAGACUUUAGAUUACCUUCCUGAGAUCCCGGUUAUCUGUAAACCAGCAGAGAGUGCAUUCGAGAAAGCCUUCGACAUUGCACAGCUCAAUCCUCACACAACCGUAAGCUUCGAGAAGAUAAAAACUAAUUAAUUAUACCUAAAUACAACGUCUAUCUAUAUUUAAUGUUAUUAAUGAAUCUUGUACAGUUGUUCUUCGACGACAGUGUACGUAACAUCCAAACCGGAAAAGCCUUGGGUCUCCAUACAGUCCUGGUAAGAACGGGUUAAAAUCUUGAACCAAACCAACUAAAACCUAUUUAUAUUAUCUCUAAGACUCUAACAUACGUUGAGACGUGCAUGUAUAACCAUAAUUUCUUUUAGGUUGGUAAAUCCGAAAAAGUGGAAGGAAGUGAUCACGCGUUAAAGAGCAUUCAUAACAUGAAAGAAGCAUUUCCGGAGUUAUGGUCGGAAUCCAUCAACAAAAAAUCUGAAAGAAUUGGUUAUGCCACACGGAUCUCGAUUGAAACUUAUGUGCAAGCUUAAUUAUUUAACAUGUUUAUUUUUAGUUUCUUAAAAAAGUUUACAUAUAUAUAUAUUGUUGGAACUCGUUUUUUGACAAAAUGGUUUUAGACCAUAUUUCGGUAAGUUUCUGGGAGAAGACGUUCGUCGGAAUAACCGAAUGUUUGACACUAACCACAUGUCAAAAUCGUAGUGGUUUGAAUGAGAAAUAGAGAUUUAAAGUGAGUUACUUGAAAAUCUUAUAAAGUUUCAAAAUUUGACUAAAUAUAAAAAUUAGAAAAUAAUCACUUUAGAGAUUAUGGAUUUGGAAAAUGGUCUUAAUUUGUUAAUUGGACAUUAUAUCCAUUAACUUAUUAUUGCACCAAACUUAUGAUAAUCUUUUGUGUUAAAUUGAUUUUACACAAAAAAGCAAAUCCAUAUUGAAGUAUAUUAGUGUUUUUCAAAUUGGUCAAACAUAAUAUCUUCAUUUUAAUCACACAAUAAAAUCUAGGUGAUAAUGGUGUUUGACUCAUCUUUAUUGUGAUUAAUAUAUGUAUUAAAAGUCUCCAUAAUGCACUUAUACGUUUUGGUUUUGUAUAUAAAAGCCACUAACUUGUGCUUCUCAAUCUCUUUUCUAUAUAAGGCUAAUAAGCCAUUUAGAAAAACAGACUCAUACGAUCAACAACAACAAAACCAAGAUCCUCCGCUUGAAUAUUUUUCUUAGUUUUUGAAUCUGAGAGUACAACACAAAAUUAGAUUCGAUAGAUUCUGUUUUUCGGUGAUGGUAAACAGAAACAAUGCUGCAGUUGUAAUAUGGGAAUCUGAGCGCCAUGAACUCGUCACACUACGGGGCGUUUAAAGAUUUAAGGAAAGAGAUUAACUAUCUCGACUCUGCAAUUCUUCUUUAUUUUUAUAUUUCGGUAUUGUAAUUUUAAUUUAUGUUCUUAUUAUUCUUUACAAAUAUCAGUUGUCCUAUGGUAGUAAAAUAAGAUUCCGACACUCUUAAAUCUUUAAAUAUUGUUUAUGCUUUUGCACUAACAAUACUGAUAUUUUUUAAAAAUUCUUGUUUUUAAGAACAGGUUAAUCGACAGUCUCGAAACAAAAUCUGGAUAACCAGCUUUUGAUAUUGUGUAAAGCAUGUGUUCUUGAGCUAACAUUUUUUUUUGGAGGAUCAGUUGAAUUAUUUAAAAUAAUUCUCCUGCACUUACGUGUUUAGGUUGUGGUGUUUAAUUAUUGAUUAUAUUAAAUUGCAAAAUUUUAAUGAUUUAAAAAAAAUUAUGUCAGUUUUUGAUCAUUUUCAAUAUGGUUUUUUGAAAAGAAAAAGAAAAAAAAUUGAUGUUGGUCUUAUAUCAAACCGUUACAAAUUGCAAAGGAAAAGGGUUUAUUGCUUUUGGUCAAAGAUAUGUUUUAACUAUUGGUAUUUAAUUAGUAAAAACAAUACGUUGAAUAAAACGUUUUCCUGGAUUUGUUAUUGUGGAGUUAUUGUUUAAACAUUAUUAGUCAUAUGUUUGGUAUUGAGUAGUAUAUUAAUCUGGGUUUGGUUUCUAGUGAACAAACCCAUAUUUCAAUAUAGCUAAACCAAAGUGAUUAAUAAAAUCUCGAUCUUUAAGAGAUCGAAAGGUAUAUAUAUGGAAAUGGAUUAAGAAAAAGCAUAUGUAGAUGAGGUUUACAAUGUUGGUGAAAGUCAGGAUGUGUGUCUAUCCUUCCCAGCUAACUCUAGCUUCCUUAUCUUUUAUGCUCUCAACGAUUGCCUUAUGCUCACGUUAUAUAUGACUGUGGAACUCCAUCCAUACCUGUUCUUAAGAUGAUAAACCAAUAUAUAUAUAUUACCGGGAAUCAAGAUGAAAAGAAACUCCGUUUAUAUAUUUCUUAAAUUCUUUCGUAUCUAGUUCUAAACUUAAUCAUUCAAGUUUGGUCUUUGAAAUCAGUAACUGUUUUUUUUUUCUGUUAAUGAAAUUAGUGAUUAACAAAAAUGUAUCUACAUAUUUACUUACACACAAAUCUGACCAAUUUUAUCUUACUUUUUGCUACCCAUUUGGUUAUUUCUGAAAGAAUCUCUACGGAGACGACGUGGCAUGUCAAUAUGUCAAUGAUUUUUUUUGUUUAUCUUAUUAUAUUAUCUUUUCCCAUUUUCUCUUUCACAUCAGAUUAGCCCACUUUGCUUGGCUUAGGAUUGUUCUUGCAUCAUCUUAAAAAAAUGGCUUCGCUUUCUUUACUCAGCGGCGGUGCUCUCCAGGCUCGUUGCGCAAGACAUGCACAUGUUAGCCCACGCGCGGCGCAUGCUACCAAAGCCGCGCCUCCGUCCUACUCUCUAACCGGCGCCUCUCGCAGGAACCUGCUGUUUUCCCUGACGGCAGCGACGGUGGUGACGGGACUGCAGCCUGCAUCAAUGGCAGAGACUAUUCCGUUGUUCGGGAUCAGAAAGAAGCUGAAGAAGGCAGAAGAAGAAGCGGUGGAGAUCGUGAAGGAAGGCUUCGAGACGGCGGAGAAAGGACUAGAGACGGCGGAGAAAGGAAUAGAGGCGGCGGAGAAGGGAGUAGAGACGGCGGAGAAAGAAAUCGAGACGGCGGUUAGUUACAACGGAUUGACACAGGCGGGAGCAGUCGUGGCUGCUGAGUUCGUGGGAGUUCUUGUCGCAACUUCGGUCGUCAACGGCAUUUUAGGACCUGAAGCCCAGAAGUCGUAGACUUUUAUCAUUUCAAGACUGAAAGACAUUUGAUCUUUAAGUGUAAUAUUGUGUCUAAAAGUGUUGUUCAUUACGCGUUGAACGUAUCGUAAUUUUGUUUGAGUUUUAUAUAUAAUAUAUUUUAAAUUUAUUUUCAUUUGGAAUAAGUGAACUUGUGUGGCUCUAACUUUAGAUGGACGUCAGCAGAUAAGCAGCAUCCAGUUACCCUACCUGAAAUUGUAGAUUUUUGGGAGGUUUUGAGUUGGAUUAGUUGGAAAAUAGCUAAGUGGGUUAUUGAUGAGGUACGUUUGGUUUGAGAGUUGGUUUGGGACGACUGUAAACCGGUUGGUUAAGAAGUUCUCUUUGUUACGUGGUUGUAAUAGAGGUGGGCGUUCAUAUACCUCUACGGGUUUGUAUCGAGUAUUUGUUACGGGUUUGUGUCGAGUAUUUCGGUAUAGUUAAAACCUAUUUUUUUACUCUUUGGUUUGGGUUUAGAAUGGAGAUGAAGUUCAUGUGACCAAGGCGCUAAAGAGGCUCGUGAUCGAAGAUUGUUUUGAGAGAAUCAUAAGUUUCGAGACCUUAAACCCUAAGAUCAACGAGACUUUAGAUUACCUUCCUGAGAUCCCGGUUAUCUGUAAACCAGCAGAGAGUGCAUUCGAGAAAGCCUUCGACAUUGCACAGCUCAAUCCUCACACAACCGUAAGCUUCGAGAAGAUAAAAACUAAUUAAUUAUACCUAAAUACAACGUCUAUCUAUAUUUAAUGUUAUUAAUGAAUCUUGUACAGUUGUUCUUCGACGACAGUGUACGUAACAUCCAAACCGGAAAAGCCUUGGGUCUCCAU